AAGACUUUAGUUAAAUAAUAAUACCAACUUGUCAGGUUGAAGUAAUCUUUUUAGAUAAGUCUUA
rnacentral:tRNA from 1 species